AGAGUUUGAUCCUGGCUCAGAUUGAACGCUGGCGGCAUGCCUUACACAUGCAAGUCGAACGGUAACAGGGAGCUUGCUCCGCUGACGAGUGGCGAACGGGUGAGUAAUGUAUCGGAACGUACCAUUGAGUGGGGGAUAACGUAGCGAAAGUUACGCUAAUACCGCAUAUUCUCUCCGGAGGAAAGCAGGGGACCGCAAGGCCUUGCGCUCUUUGAGCGGCCGAUAUCAGAUUAGCUAGUUGGUGGGGUAAAAGCUCACCAAGGCA
rnacentral:rRNA from 1 species